GAGAGAAGAGCUUUCGAUCCACCCCUGAUCACCGCUGCCACGCCGCUGCCGUUGCCACGCUGCUGCCGUUGCCACGCUGCUGCCUCGCCAUACUCCAACAGAUUGAAGGAAAAGAGCACAGUUCCCAAUAUCCAGGUGAGGCUGUAUAAAUUUAGAGUAUAAUUCGGUGAUAUAAAUCUCUCUCUGGGGCUUUCAGGAAACCAUAUUAUCAUUCAUUCCGGUAAAAAAAUGUCAACAUCAAAUGCAUCUAUGACUGAUAUUAGCGAAAUUCAGUUUAGUAAUCGGAAAUGUCGUUGCGGGGUGAGAGCAGCAUUCAGGAUUUCAGAGUCAGUAGACAAUCCGGGGAUGUUAUACUUUGCUUGCUCUUCAAACAACACCAAUGGAUGCGGCUUCUUUCAGUGGUGGAUGCCUGUAGCUAAGUAGCGUCAAUGGUUGAAGAUGAUAAGGGAGGAAAGCGACGGCAAUUGUAAUAUCAACCCUUUGGUCAACGAAGUUAUUGUAUCCAAUGAUGAGCUGAAAGAGAUAGUUACAAAGCUUACGAAAGAAAGUAAACAAAUGGUCGUAGAGAUUACACAACUUCAGAAAAAGUUGCACUACGCCAUUGUAAUAAUGUUAUUUGGAUUUGGACUUCUUUUGUUGUUUAAAAAUUAAGUGUAAUUUAAAUUCGGAUUUGAACUUCGCCUUUUGUGAAC